GACGAACGCUAGCGGCGUGCCUAAUACAUGCAAGUAGAACGCUGAAGAGAGGAGCUUGCUCUUCUUGGAUGAGUUGCGAACGGGUGAGUAACGCGUAGGUAACCUGCCUUGUAGCGGGGGAUAACUAUUGGAAACGAUAGCUAAUACCGCAUAACAAUGGAUGACACAUGUCAUUUAUUUGAAAGGGGCAAUUGCUCCACUACAAGAUGGACCUGCGUUGUAUUAGCUAGUAGGUGAGGUAACGGCUCACCUAGGCGACGAUACAUAGCCGACCUGAGAGGGUGAACGGCCACACUGGGACUGAGACACGGCCCAGACUCCUACGGGAGGCAACAGUAGGGAAUCUUCGGCAAUGGGGGCAACCCUGACCGAGCAACGCCGCGUGAGUGAAGAAGGUUUUCGGAUCGUAAAGCUCUGUUGUAAGUCAAGAACGAGUGUGAGAGUGGAAAGUUCACACUGUGACGGUAGCUUACCAGAAAGGGACGGCUAACUACGUG
rnacentral:rRNA from 1 species